ACACAGCACCGUGACCCUCUCUUCUAAACCUUAAGAAAAUGGGGAGGGGGAGCACUAGCUGUCCCCCCAGCACGAAGACUUAAAUGCCCCGGCGUCCCCUCUUCCCCUAGCAAGGUAGCUGGGCCAGCCAGCUCCGCGGGGAGGCAGCCCCAUGCCCUCUCCAACAACCACGGCCACCAAUGCGUCCGCAGCCAAAAGUCCCAGGAUGUAGCCUUUCCAGGCUCGUACUUAGCAGCAAGCCUUUCCCCCUGACAAUGCACCAUCUGCAGCUGCUAUCUGGGAAAUGCUCCCAAGAUUCCAGGACACCCAAAGCCUCAGAGGUUCAGAGGGCUCAGCUGCACCUUGGGGAAAUACGUGCCCAUGGUCAAGGAGACGUGCCUUGUGUCCACAGGAGAGGGAGAGACAGAAAGAGGAUCUUGGAGCCCCGACAAUGACAAGAAGCCCUGUGUGCGGAUUACAGAUGGAGGUAUCGGGUCGGACGCAGUAGGCAGAGAAGCAAGAAAGAGACCACAGGCAGACAGGCACAUGGACAGAGGGCCCAGCACGUGCCAGGCACCGCCCUGGGGCCUGCAGAACUCUCUCGCCCCUUCCUGCCAGCCAGCCGAGAAAACAUUACAGAUGCAGACCGGGAUACAGACGGAGACAGACAACCAAAGUCACUUCUUGUC